rnacentral:rRNA from 1 species
CUUAGCAGAGAUGCUUUGGUGCCUUCGGGAACUCUGAGACAGGUGCUGCAUGGCUGUCGUCAGCUCGUGUUGUGAAAUGUUGGGUUAAGUCCCGCAACGAGCGCAACCCUUAUCCUUUGUUGCCAGCGGUUCGGCCGGGAACUCAAAGGAGACUGCCAGUGAUAAACU